GAAAAUGUACCUGUAAGAGGCUAUGGAUAUGUAAGAAGUGAUGAAUAAUGCUAACUCUUCUACUUCAGGACUCUAAACUGGAUGCCUAUGACAGCAUGGCUUGUCCACACCUGUGAUCAGAACCCUUGAACCACGAGGCUGCCGAAGCGGAAUGUGCAAACGUGUGCGCUGUGCCACCAGGCCAGUCCCAGAAGUUCACAUUUCUGUACAGCAAAAACAUAUUCAGAUAUAAAUGUGGUCAUAUACUGACUAAGUCAUGCUCAAGGACAGUUUCCAGGAGAGCUUCCCUCAGGAGUCCUUGCCAGGAUGAUACCAGAAUCAAAAGCAAACUCUGAAAACUGAUGCUCAGGAAAAAAGUAUCUGUGGCAAGAACACUGUCCAGAAAUCUGUAACAGAGGAACAUUCCAUUGUGACAAUGCAGGACUUCAGCUGCUGUGAUACCCAU
rnacentral:lncRNA from 1 species